UACGAAGGGGGCUAGCGUUGCUCGGAAUUACUGGGCGUAAAGGGCGCGUAGGCGGAUAGUUUAGUCAGAGGUGAAAGCCCAGGGCUCAACCUUGGAAUUGCCUUUGAUACUGGCUAUCUUGAGUUCGGGAGAGGUGAGUGGAAUGCCGAGUGUAGAGGUGAAAUUCGUAGAUAUUCGGCGGAACACCAGUGGCGAAGGCGACUCACUGGCCCGAUACUGACGCUGAGGCGCGAAAGCGUGGGGAGCAAACGGG
rnacentral:rRNA from 1 species